CCGUCCACCUUGUCAGCUUCCAAACGUUCUUCGUUUCAAGUAUAUAUCUAUCUCGUGCUGAUUUUUGGACAAGACGAGAAAUUGCUAGAUACUGGGUGAAAUAUUAGAGUUUCAAAAUUAGGAAACUUAUGAUUUUAAUCAACGUAAGCCUAAAGCGAGUUUCUUAAAUCUUAUCUGAUUCUCUUCAUCAAUGAAUAUAUAACAUUAUCAGUGUAUUAAAUUAAAAAGUCUACUAUCCACGAAACGGAGAAGAAGAAACAGAAGAAGAAGAUGAAGUAGAAAAACAUAGUACAGUCACGGACGCCGAUGGCAGGAUUUCCAUCGAGUUCUCGCGUUCGUAAAUAAACCGGUGAAGCGUGGUGGGUCGCUAUGUUUAGGUUAGGUGGUUUCUCAGAUUUCUGGGAUCACCAUGGGAGAAUGUGACAGGUCUUCCAGCUACCGGUCGGUUGCUUUACGAUCACAAGUACGCUUCCAAUUCACUGACGACUGCGUUUUAAAAAGAGAAAAGUGAAGAGAUAGUAGCUACUCUUUUCCCUUCUAAGAAAGAAUCUUUCUUGGUCUUGUAAUACAUAACUACCUUCGCGGCUUCGAAGUCCCUUUGCACAAUUGAAUUAAUAUUAUUAACCUAAUUCAGUAGUAAUAAGAUUGGUAACCAAAAUAAUUAACAUUGAACAAGUGGAUUUUAUAAACUAUAAGCUAACUGACUGUCCUAUUUGACGCGUAAUAGCAAAAUCGGUUUGUGCAAUAGAAAUUUAUAAUUUAGAACCCGGUACAUAUCAAUGCAAUUGGUGACUUAUGGUAUAAAAGCAUCGAAGAAGUUUAUUCUCCCGACAGGAACAUUGAAUCAGUAUUUACAAUAUUAUUUGGUGAUAAUUCGAUGAGGAAUAAAUUAUUGCGACUUCCUGCUACUUGUGAUAGUGAAGUUAAGAGUG